GGGUUGUGAGGUUAAGCGACUAAGCGUACACGGUGGAUGCCCUGGCAGUCAGAGGCGAUGAAGGACGUGCUAAUCUGCGAUAAGCGUCGGUAAGGUGAUAUGAACCGUUAUAACCGGCGAUUUCCGAAUGGGGAAACCCAGUGUGUUUCGACACACUAUCAUUAACUGAAUCCAUAGGUUAAUGAGGCGAACCGGGGGAACUGAAACAUCUAAGUACCCCGAGGAAAAGAAAUCAACCGAGAUUCCCCCAGUAGCGGCGAGCGAACGGGGAGCAGCCCAGAGCCUGAAUCAGUGUGUGUGUUAGUGGAAGCGUCUGGAAAGGCGCGCGAUACAGGGUGACAGCCCCGUACACAAAAAUGCACAUGCUGUGAGCUCGAUGAGUAGGGCGGGACACGUGGUAUCCUGUCUGAAUAUGGGGGGACCAUCCUCCAAGGCUAAAUACUCCUGACUGACCGAUAGUGAACCAGUACCGUGAGGGAAAGGCGAAAAGAACCCCGGCGAGGGGAGUGAAAAAGAACCUGAAACCGUGUACGUACAAGCAGUGGGAGCACGCUUCGGCGUGUGACUGCGUACCUUUUGUAUAAUGGGUCAGCGACUUAUAUUCUGUAGCAAGGUUAACCGAAUAGGGGAGCCGAAGGGAAACCGAGUCUUAACUGGGCGUUAAGUUGCAGGGUAUAGACCCGAAACCCGGUGAUCUAGCCAUGGGCAGGUUGAAGGUUGGGUAACACUAACUGGAGGACCGAACCGACUAAUGUUGAAAAAUUAGCGGAUGACUUGUGGCUGGGGGUGAAAGGCCAAUCAAACCGGGAGAUAGCUGGUUCUCCCCGAAAGCUAUUUAGGUAGCGCCUCGUGAAUUCAUCUCCGGGGGUAGAGCACUGUUUCGGCAAGGGGGUCAUCCCGACUUACCAACCCGAUGCAAACUGCGAAUACCGGAGAAUGUUAUCACGGGAGACACACGGCGGGUGCUAACGUCCGUCGUGAAGAGGGAAACAACCCAGACCGCCAGCUAAGGUCCCAAAGUCAUGGUUAAGUGGGAAACGAUGUGGGAAGGCCCAGACAGCCAGGAUGUUGGCUUAGAAGCAGCCAUCAUUUAAAGAAAGCGUAAUAGCUCACUGGUCGAGUCGGCCUGCGCGGAAGAUGUAACGGGGCUAAACCAUGCACCGAAGCUGCGGCAGCGACGCUUAUGCGUUGUUGGGUAGGGGAGCGUUCUGUAAGCCUGUGAAGGUGUGCUGUGAGGCAUGCUGGAGGUAUCAGAAGUGCGAAUGCUGACAUAAGUAACGAUAAAGCGGGUGAAAAGCCCGCUCGCCGGAAGACCAAGGGUUCCUGUCCAACGUUAAUCGGGGCAGGGUGAGUCGACCCCUAAGGCGAGGCCGAAAGGCGUAGUCGAUGGGAAACAGGUUAAUAUUCCUGUACUUGGUGUUACUGCGAAGGGGGGACGGAGAAGGCUAUGUUGGCCGGGCGACGGUUGUCCCGGUUUAAGCGUGUAGGCUGGUUUUCCAGGCAAAUCCGGAAAAUCAAGGCUGAGGCGUGAUGACGAGGCACUACGGUGCUGAAGCAACAAAUGCCCUGCUUCCAGGAAAAGCCUCUAAGCAUCAGGUAACAUCAAAUCGUACCCCAAACCGACACAGGUGGUCAGGUAGAGAAUACCAAGGCGCUUGAGAGAACUCGGGUGAAGGAACUAGGCAAAAUGGUGCCGUAACUUCGGGAGAAGGCACGCUGAUAUGUAGGUGAAGUCCCUCGCGGAUGGAGCUGAAAUCAGUCGAAGAUACCAGCUGGCUGCAACUGUUUAUUAAAAACACAGCACUGUGCAAACACGAAAGUGGACGUAUACGGUGUGACGCCUGCCCGGUGCCGGAAGGUUAAUUGAUGGGGUUAGCCGCAAGGCGAAGCUCUUGAUCGAAGCCCCGGUAAACGGCGGCCGUAACUAUAACGGUCCUAAGGUAGCGAAAUUCCUUGUCGGGUAAGUUCCGACCUGCACGAAUGGCGUAAUGAUGGCCAGGCUGUCUCCACCCGAGACUCAGUGAAAUUGAACUCGCUGUGAAGAUGCAGUGUACCCGCGGCAAGACGGAAAGACCCCGUGAACCUUUACUAUAGCUUGACACUGAACAUUGAGCCUUGAUGUGUAGGAUAGGUGGGAGGCUUUGAAGUGUGGACGCCAGUCUGCAUGGAGCCGACCUUGAAAUACCACCCUUUAAUGUUUGAUGUUCUAACGUUGACCCGUAAUCCGGGUUGCGGACAGUGUCUGGUGGGUAGUUUGACUGGGGCGGUCUCCUCCUAAAGAGUAACGGAGGAGCACGAAGGUUGGCUAAUCCUGGUCGGACAUCAGGAGGUUAGUGCAAUGGCAUAAGCCAGCUUGACUGCGAGCGUGACGGCGCGAGCAGGUGCGAAAGCAGGUCAUAGUGAUCCGGUGGUUCUGAAUGGAAGGGCCAUCGCUCAACGGAUAAAAGGUACUCCGGGGAUAACAGGCUGAUACCGCCCAAGAGUUCAUAUCGACGGCGGUGUUUGGCACCUCGAUGUCGGCUCAUCACAUCCUGGGGCUGAAGUAGGUCCCAAGGGUAUGGCUGUUCGCCAUUUAAAGUGGUACGCGAGCUGGGUUUAGAACGUCGUGAGACAGUUCGGUCCCUAUCUGCCGUGGGCGCUGGAGAACUGAGGGGGGCUGCUCCUAGUACGAGAGGACCGGAGUGGACGCAUCACUGGUGUUCGGGUUGUCAUGCCAAUGGCACUGCCCGGUAGCUAAAUGCGGAAGAGAUAAGUGCUGAAAGCAUCUAAGCACGAAACUUGCCCCGAGAUGAGUUCUCCCUGACCCUUUAAGGGUCCUGAAGGAACGUUGAAGACGACGACGUUGAUAGGCCGGGUGUGUAAGCGCAGCGAUGCGUUGAGCUAACCGGUACUAAUGAACCGUGAGGCUUAACCUUACAACGCCGAAGCUGUU
rnacentral:rRNA from 1 species